GAUGAACGCUGGCGGCGUGCCUAAUACAUGCAAGUCGAGCGAACGGACGAGAAGCUUGCUUUUCUGAUGUUAGCGGCGGACGGGUGAGUAACACGUGGAUAACCUACCUAUAAGACUGGGAUAACUUCGGGAAACCGGAGCUAAUACCGGAUAAUAUUUUGAACCGCAUGGUUCAUAAGUGAAAGACGGUCUUGCUGUCACUUAUAGAUGGAUCCGCGCUGCAUUAGCUAGUUGGUAAGGUAACGGCUUACCAAGGCAACGAUGCAUAGCCGACCUGAGAGGGUGAUCGGCCACACUGGAACUGAGACACGGUCCAGACUCCUACGGGAGGCAGCAGUAGGGAAUCUUCCGCAAUGGGCGAAAGCCUGACGGAGCAACGCCGCGUGAGUGAUGAAGGUCUUCGGAUCGUAAAACUCUGUUAUUAGGGAAGAACAUAUGUGUAAGUAACUGUGCACAUCUUGACGGUACCUAAUCAGAAAGCCACGGCUAACUACGUG
rnacentral:rRNA from 1 species